rnacentral:snRNA from 1 species
UCAGCACAUCUUACUGUUCAUCC